AUGAUGAUCUAGAUUAUAAAGUUUAUGGUUUUUGUCUGAAUAAACAUGACGAAACUAUUCUAGGGCGGUCUGAUUUU
rfam:Solenopsis invicta Si_gnG.contig02749, whole genome shotgun sequence.